rnacentral:pre_miRNA from 1 species
CGGCCGGUCGCAGGCCAGAAAUUAUACCGUUGAGAGAUUUCUGCCUUUGACGGGUUCGCUU